rnacentral:rRNA from 1 species
UACGUAGGGUGCGAGCGUUGUUCGGAAUUACUGGGCGUAAAGCGCACGUAGGCGGCUUUGUAAGUUAGAGGUGAAAGCCCCAGGGCUUAACCCUGGAAUUGCCUUUAAGACUGCAUCGCUCGAAUUGUGGAGAGGUGAGUGGAAUUCCGAGUGUAGAGGUGAAAUGCGUAGAGAUGUGGAGGAAUACCGAUGGCGAAGGCAGCCCCCUGGGAUAACACUGACGCUCAUGCACGAAAGCGUGGGGAGCAAACAGG